GAUGAACGCUGGCGGCAUGCCUAAUACAUGCAAGUCGAGCGAGCGGCGGACGGGUGAGUAACACGUGGGAACCUACCCAUAAGACUGGGGUAACUUCCGGAAACCGGAGCUAAUACCCUAAUCUUUUCGCUGUAUCCGGGCUGCAUUAGCUAGGUGGUAAGGUAACGGCUUACCAAGGCCACGAUGCAUCGCCGAUCUGAGAGGAUGACCAGCCACACUGGAACUGAGACACGGUCCAGACUCCUACGGGAGGCAGCAGUGGGGAAUAUUGCACAAUGGGCGCAAGCCUGAUGCAGCCACGCCGCGUGUGUGAAGAAGGCCUUCGGGUUGUAAAGCACUGUCAGCGAGGAGGCGUUACUCGCAGAAGAAGCACCGGCUAACUCCGUGCCAGCAGCCGCGGUAAUAC
rnacentral:rRNA from 1 species